rnacentral:rRNA from 1 species
GACGAACGCUGGCGGCGUGCUUAACACAUGCAAGUCGAACGGCGAAGCCCUUCGGGGUGGAUCAGUGGCGAACGGGGGAGUAACACGUGAGCAACCUGCCCCUGGCCCUGGGAUAACCACUGGAUACGGUGGCUAAUACUGCACACGACCCGCCUCGGCCCUACGUGUGGGUGGAAAGUUUUUCGGCUGGGGGUGGGCUUGCGGCCUAUGAGCUCGUUUGUGGUGGUAAGGCUGACGAAGGCGCAGCCGGGUAGCCGGCCUGAGAAGGUGACCGGCCACAAUGGGACUGAGACAGGGACCAGACUGCUACGGGAGGCAGCAGUGGGGAAUAUUGCACAGUGGGCGAAAGCCUGAUGCAGCGGCGCCGCGUGAGGGAUGCCGGCCUUCGGGUUGUGAACCGCUUUCAGCUAAGAAGAAGCGAAAGUGACGGUAGGAGAAGAAGAAGCACCGGCUAACUACGUG